AGAUGAGAGAAACACCCCGCUCGCAGGGGACUGCGGGCGAUGCCAACGCGGGGCGUCCCCAGCGCCGCUUUGGCCGUGCCAUCGCGCACACCGCUGGAGCUUCGGGCUCCGGAUCUCCUCACCGGUCGGA
rnacentral:ncRNA from 1 species